rnacentral:lncRNA from 1 species
CUGUGUUUAAAAAGGCGCUCGCCUUAUGCGCCAAGGCGCAAGGCGCACUCAGGCGAUAGCUCCAUCGCCAUGCACAUCCCAGGCAAGGGUAUGGUCCCUAAGGCGCUCGCCUAGUGCGCUUUGGCCAUAAAGCGGUGCCUUCAAAGGCGAUGCAAAGGCGCGCCUUGGAGACCCUAUGUUAACCGACACUAAACCAGGUACGAAACCAAACCCUGCUUUAACUAAUUCACCAAUCUUAUAACAAAACGUCAAAAAUACUCAUCAAAACCCUAGCUCCCUCUUCAAAGUUAAACCAAACGUCAAAAAUUCUCACAAAACAUAUAUCUCACAGUGUUUUGCUUAAGGUUAGUCUCAUAGGUUCUUCUUCUUAUUAUUAUGACUACUUGUGUUUCUUGGUUACAGUCUAGAAUGCACUGCGAUUGCUUAUCUCUGUAAUUUUGGUGCUUCUUUUCUUUUA